UGGGGAAUCUUGCGCAAUGGGCGAAAGCCUGACGCAGCAACGCCGCGUGGAGGAUGACGGCCUUCUGGGUUGUAAACUCCUUUCGACAGGGACGAAAUUGACGGUACCUGUGGAAGAAGCCCCGGCCAACUACGUGCCAGCAGCCGCGGUAAUACGUAGGGGGCGAGCGUUGUCCGGAAUUAUUGGGCGUAAAGAGCUCGUAGGCGGCUCGAUAAGUUGGGUGUGAAAACUCCAGGCUCAACCUGGAGACGCCACCCAAGACUGUCGUGGCUAGAGUCCGGUAGGGGGUCACGGAAUUCCUGGUGUAGCGGUGAAAUGCGCAGAUAUCAGGAGGAACACCGGUGGCGAAGGCGGUGGCCUGGGCCGGAACUGACGCUGAGGAGCGAAAGCGUGGGUAGCAAACAGG
rnacentral:rRNA from 1 species